GAAGUCAUGUUGCUAAGCAACGAUAAACAAACAUAGGAAUAUGCUUAAGUCCAAUCUCCUGGCUGUAUAGGAGAUCAGUAAAUACAAAAAUGAGCAUUUUCUACUCAAUAAAGGUAAAAUUAGAGCCAGGCACCCAAAUAGCAUGGAAACAAAAGAGCGACAUAUAAGAAUACAUCAGCAGGAAUAGCAAUUUACAAGAACCAGAAGGAACCUCCGAUCUAAUGGUGUGUGAACACAAAUACAGUGGUAUUUCCG